CUUUUGCGCCACUACGUGGCUUAACGUGUAGUCGCCCUUCCCUUUGAUUUUUAGGAACGCAACGUGGACGAGUUUUUGCGUUGCAGUCACCUGUCUACCGGUGUUAGGCAGUUUGAAAAAUGUGCUUUUAAGCUAUUUUUAAUAAAUUUUAAAAACGUGCUCAGGUGAAUUAUCAAACUCAACAGAUUUCUAUGCACAGAGGCGGCUCUUAGUAGCUCUGAUGGCGUUGGUAUAGGUAUUCCCUGUGUGGAAGGGUUUAGAUAUGGGAGGAUUUAGGACCGCAGGUUGUAGAGAAGGAAAACACUGGAUAUCCUCCAAAUUUUGCUGUGCGUUGCUAGACGGCCUACCUGCUCCUGUUUAGGCCAGAGCGUGGAUAGAUGUUUCAGAAUUUAAAAGGCCUGGAGAGAAAGCAAUUUAUGCUGCUUGGUACUGGUCAAAAGUCCUGUUAUGUGCCUGGCCACCCCACAGAGAAGCCUGCGGGGCUGGAGUCCCUGCGCUGCAAAGGAGGCUGGACAAGUGGUUUGUGCGCCUAAGAAAUGGCAGAGAAAAUGACCUCCAGGGUUCCUCUUCUAGACCAUUUUGUUGGGGCAUCCCUUUCUUGGUACCAGCUGGGAUUGUUAAUCAAAGGACUAUGACCAAGUUUGGAUCCCUGACCUCAACAGGAGAAAGAAAGUGCUGGGGAGCAACCCAGGGCCUUGCACAUACAUAUUAAACAAGUGCCCUCCCUCUGAGCUACACCUGAGACCUUUUCUAUUCUAAGAAUUUGUUAAAAUUUUUAUUUUUUAUUAAAUACAAUAGACUUCUCUGUCAGGGACCUAGCCAAGAUCUCCAACUGUGUGUAUGAGGAGUAUGGUGAAAGGUUGAAAUAAAAAAAACAGACAAAUUUAGUAAUGCAUGACAGGGGGCCUGGGAGGUCGGUGCCUCACAAUGGGCAAAGACAAAGACAAUCUGAGCUCUAGCCACCAUUUACUGGGUGUACACAAGAAUAAGAGGGGGGUUAGGGAUUUAGCUGAGCAGCACAAUGCCUGCCUGGCAAGCGCAAAGUCAUGAGUUCAAUUCCUGGUACUGGAAAAAAAAACAAAAACAAACAAAAAAAAAAAUAAGAGGAAUUAUUGGAUGACUUAGAGGGUAGCAGUGAUCUUAUGUUGAGAAGGUCUUAUGCUGAUGAGGAUUAUUUGGGAUGAUUUAGAGGGCAGUGGUGAGCUUAUGCUGAUGAGGAUAUUUAUGUUUAUGAGGACAGUUGGGAGAGAUGCCAGUUAAGAAAGAGUUUGUCCUUUCCCCAAGGUGAAACUAUUUUUA